rnacentral:rRNA from 1 species
UUCUGGCUCAGGACGAACGCUGGCGGCGUGCCUAACACAUGCAAGUCGAACGGAGUUAAUGAUUUCGGUUGUUAACUUAGUGGCGAACGGGUGAGUAACGCGUGAACAACCUGACCCAAAGAGGGGGAUAACAUUUGGAAACAGAUGCUAAUACCGCAUAAGACCACAACGUCACAUGGCGAAGGGGUCAAAGGAGCAAUCCGCUUUGGGAGGGGUUCGCGUCCCAUUAGGUAGUAGGCGGGGUAACAGCCCACCUAGCCAACGAUGGGUAGCCGAGCUGAGAGGCUGAUCGGCCACACUGGAACUGAGACACGGUCCAGACUCCUACGGGAGGCAGCAGUGGGGAAUAUUGGGCAAUGGGCGCAAGCCUGACCCAAGCAACGCCGCGUGAGGGAAGAAGGUUUUCGGAUUGUAAACCUCUGUCGCAGAAGACGAAGGAAGUGACGGUAUUCUGUGAGGAAGCCCCGGCUAACUACGUGCCAGCAGCUGC